UCUACUUCCAAACUUCAAGCC
rnacentral:misc_RNA from 1 species